UACGUAGGGGGCAAGCGUUGUCCGGAUUUAUUGGGCGUAAAGAGCGUGUAGGCGGCCACACAGGUCAGCUGUGAAAACUCGAGGCUCAACCUCGAGACGUCGGUUGAAACCGUAUGGCUAGAGUCCGGAAGAGGAGAGUGGAAUUCCCGGUGUAGCGGUGAAAUGUGCAGAUAUCGGGAAGAACACCCGUGGCGAAGGCGGCUCUCUGGGACGGUACUGACGCUGAGACGCGAAAGCGUGGGGAGCGAACAGG
rnacentral:rRNA from 1 species